AUUUAUAUAGUUUAUUCAAAACAUUACAUUUUCAUUGUAAAAAUAAAAAAUUUUUUUUUUAUAAAUA
rnacentral:tRNA from 1 species